GGUGCCGCAGUAAACACAAUAAGUAAUCCACUUGGGGAGUACGGCCGCAAGGCUGAAACUCAAAGGAAUUGACGGGGGCCCGCACAAGCAGUGGAGUAUGUGGAUUAAUUCGAUGCAACGCGAAGAACCUUACCAGGUCUUGACAUCAAGUGACGCCUAGAGAGAUUAGGUGCCCUUCGGGGAAAGCGGAGACAGGUGGUGCAUGGUUGUCGUCAGCUCGUGUCGUGAGAUGUUGGGUUAAGUCCCGCAACGAGCGCAACCCUUACGGUUAGUUGCUACGCAAGAGCACUCUAGCCGGACCGCCGUUGACAAAACGGAGGAAGGUGGGGAUGAUGUCAAAUCAUCAUGCCCCUUAUGACCUGGGCCUCACACGUACUACAAUGGCCGUUAACAGAGGGAAGCAAAGCCGCGAGGCAGAGCAAAACCCCAAAAACGGUCUCAGUUCGGAUCGUAGGCUGCAACCCGCUUGCGUGAAGUUGGAAUUGCUAGUAAUCGUAGGUCAGCAUGCUACGGUGAAUACGUUCCCGGGCCUU
rnacentral:rRNA from 1 species